rnacentral:rRNA from 1 species
AUGAACGCUAGCGACAGGCUUAACACAUGCAAGUCGAGGGGCAGCAUGAUUUGUAGCAAUACAGAUUGAUGGCGACCGGCGCACGGGUGAGUAACGCGUAUGCAACUUACCUAUCAGAGGGGGAUAGCCCGGCGAAAGUCGGAUUAAUACCCCAUAAAACAGGGGUCCCGCAUGGGAAUAUUUGUUAAAGAUUCAUCGCUGAUAGAUAGGCAUGCGUUCCAUUAGGCAGUUGGCGGGGUAACGGCCCACCAAACCGACGAUGGAUAGGGGUUCUGAGAGGAAGGUCCCCCACAUUGGUACUGAGACACGGACCAAACUCCUACGGGAGGCAGCAGUGAGGAAUAUUGGUCAAUGGCCGAGAGGCUGAACCAGCCAAGUCGCGUGAAGGAAGAAGGAUCUAUGGUUUGUAAACUUCUUUUAUAGGGGAAUAAAGUGGAGGACGUGUCCUUUUUUGUAUGUACCCUAUGAAUAAGCAUCGGCUAACUCCGUGCCAGCAGCCGCGGUAAUACGGAGGAUGCGAGCGUUAUCCGGAUUUAUUGGGUUUAAAGGGUGCGUAGGUGGUGAUUUAAGUCAGCGGUGAAAGUUUGUGGCUCAACCAUAAAAUUGCCGUUGAAACUGGGUUACUUGAGUGUGUUUGAGGUAGGCGGAAUGCGUGGUGUAGCGGUGAAAUGCAUAGAUAUCACGCAGAACUCCGAUUGCGAAGGCAGCUUACUAAACCAUAACUGACACUGAAGCACGAAAGCGUGGGGAUCAAACAGGAUUAGAUACCCUGGUAGUCCACGCAGUAAACGAUGAUUACUAGGAGUUUGCGAUACAAUGUAAGCUCUACAGCGAAAGCGUUAAGUAAUCCACCUGGGGAGUACGCCGGCAACGGUGAAACUCAAAGGAAUUGACGGGGGCCCGCACAAGCGGAGGAACAUGUGGUUUAAUUCGAUGAUACGCGAGGAACCUUACCCGGGUUUGAACGUAGUCUGACCGGAGUGGAAACACUCUUUCUAGCAAUAGCAGAUUACGAGGUGCUGCAUGGUUGUCGUCAGCUCGUGUCGUGAGAUGUUGGGUUAAGUCCCGCAACGAGCGCAACCCUUAUCUUUAGUAGCCAGCGGUUCGGCCGGGCACUCUAGAGAGACUGCCAGGGAUAACCUGGAGGAAGGUGGGGAUGACGUCAAAUCAGCACGGCCCUUACAUCCGGGGCGACACACGUGUUACAAUGGCAUGGACAAAGGGCAGCUACCUGGUGACAGGAUGCUAAUCUCCAAACCAUGUCUCAGUUCGGAUCGGAGUCUGCAACUCGACUCCGUGAAGCUGGAUUCGCUAGUAAUCGCGCAUCAGCCAUGGCGCGGUGAAUACGUUCCCGGGCCUUGUACACACCGCCCGUCAAGCCAUGGGAGCCGGGGGUACCUGAAGUCCGUAACCGCAAGGAUCGGCCUAGGGUAAAACUGGUGACUGGGGCU